rnacentral:rRNA from 1 species
UACGAAGGUGGCAAGCGUUGUUCGGAUUUACUGGGCGUACAGGGAGCGUAGGCGGUUGGAUAAGCCCUCCGUGAAAUCUCCAGGCUUAACCUGGAAAGUGCAGAGGGGACUGUUCAGCUAGAGGAUGGGAGAGGAGCGCGGAAUUCCCGGUGUAGCGGUGAAAUGCGUAGAUAUCAGGAGGAACACCCGUGGUGCAGACGGCUUGCUGGACCUCCACUGACGCUGAGGCACGAAAGCGUGGGGAGCAAACAGG